rnacentral:misc_RNA from 1 species
GAAAUGCGAUAAGUAAUGUGAAUUGCAGAAUUCAGUGAAUCAUCGAAUCUUUGAACGCACAUUGCGCCCCCUGGCAUUCCGGGGGGCAUGCCUGUUCGAGCGUCAUUACACCACUCAAGCCUGGCUUGGUAUUGAGCGCCGCGGCCUGCCCGCGCGCUCCAAUGUCUCCGGCUGAGCCGUCCGUCUCUAAGCGUUGUGAAUAGCGAUCGCUUGCGAGGCCCGGGCGGUUCGACGCCGUUAAACCCCCCCAUUUUCUAUGGUUGACCUCGGAUCAGGUAGGGAUACCCGCUGAACUUAAGC